GGACAGUUGUGGCUGGUAGUUGAAUUGAAAUUUUCAAUAAGCCAUUCAAACGUUGUUUUCUGAAAUUGAAUUUUUUGAAGAUGCUGUUCAGCAGGAAAUCAGUGGCUAUGUAUAACAUGUAUAUUUCUAUCCUUUUUAUUCUGCUAGCAUUAUUUCAUUUUGGAUAUGCUGCACCAGGAGCAUUGAAAGAAGCGGAGAUUUUAACGAAAGACGUUUUUCUUGGUAUUAUCGAGCCUCCCAUAACGAUUCUACCCGGGAUAAAGGCAUAAAAAUAAGCAAUUCAGAAGAAAUAACAAUUAUGUGUUUUGCAGUGCACCAUUUUUGGGAAAUGGGUUUUGAAAAUAGUAAGAAAAUAAUCCUGUAAGAAGUAAAUUUAAUUCCUAUAGUGUGAAUGGUCUGAACAAUUUUUUUUCUGGAAUAUAUUCAUGAAGA